CCUACGGGUGGCUGCAGUGGGGAAUAUUGCACAAUGGGGGAAACCCUGAUGCAGCGACGCCGCGUGAGCGAUGAAGUAUUUCGGUAUGUAAAGCUCUAUCAGCAGGGAAGAAAAUGACGGUACCUGACUACGAAGCCCCGGCUAACUACGUGCCAGCAGCCGCGGUCAUACGUAGGGGGCAAGCGUUAUCCGGAUUUACUGGGUGUAAAGGGAGCGUAGACGGCUUGGCAAGCCAGAUGUGAAAGGCUGGGGCUCAACCCCAGGACUGCAUUUGGAACUGUCAUGCUAGAGUGUCGGAGAGGCAGGCGGAAUUCCUAGUGUAGCGGUGAAAUGCGUAGAUAUUAGGAGGAACACCGAUUGCGAAGGCAUCUCACGAAGCCGCGAUUGACGCUGAUGCACGAAAGCGUGGGUAUCAAACAGGAUUAGAUACCCGAGUAGUC
rnacentral:rRNA from 1 species